rnacentral:rRNA from 1 species
AUGGCCAUGGGAGUCGAGCUCCGCGAGGGAUGCUGCCAUGGCCAUGGGCGUCGAGCUCCGCGAUGGGCGCUGCCAUGGCCAUCGGUAUCGAGCUCCGCGAGGGGUGCUGCCAUGGCCAUGGUCGUCGAGCUCCGCGAGGGGCUUCGCCAUGGCCAUGGGCGUCGAGCUCCGCGAGAGGUGCCGACAUGGCUGCCGAGGCACCACCACACUAGAUGCAGCUCCGCUGAUGGCCGGUUCCAGCUUUUGACGAUGCCUGUUGCAGCUUUUUGGCGAAAAAACUUGUCAUCGUCGCCGGCGGUUGUAUCUCGCCAUUGUAUCGUCGCCGUUGAAAAAAGAAUGAAUGUAGCAAAAAUUGUUGCUGGAUGUACCAAAAAUCUAUUACGAUUGCAGCAAAAAAAGUCAUCGCCGGCGUCGUCGGGUCACAGCUCAGCGUGA